UGUCGGAUGUGAUAAGGUUAGUCAGUUUCCUCCUACAGGUUGGCAUUUUCCUUCAAGUACUACGGUUUAGUACGGCACUAAAACUGACUGCCAUGAAAUUACCCAUAUGGUGUAGAAAGUGAUGUUUAUAAAACCAAAGCAAAGUUUUAAAUCUUUGUCCAUUUGUACAAGGAGCCGUAGUGGUUGAGCCAUUUAACUUUGGUAAUUUUACCAAACUGUGACCACAACUUCAAGAUGUGACAUCAGGCCUCUGUUCAAUGGGCAGUCCCACAAUAAAAGUUCAAUUUUCACGUCAUACAUUUUAUAUGGUUAAUUUGUCAGUUUCCUGCCUCAGUUCUGUGUUUUUUUCUGGGUACUUUGGUUAACUUUGCCAAUAAAACUGAAAGUCUUACGUGAAAUUAUCCAUAUGAUGUAGAAUGUGAAAUU
rnacentral:lncRNA from 1 species